AUUUGAUGACAAAAACAUAUGCAUCYUCGUUUGUCUCCACAUUAACGAACAUAUUACUCUCAACUGUAUUUUUUUUGUGCAUGACUCGUUAUGACGUUAUAAUUAGGUACAUUUCCUUCCGUCCUAGUAUUUUUGUCAGACUACUUGGCUGAAGAAAUCUAGCGUCCAUUUCGUCAUGGGAACCAGCCCUCCCCAAAACACACAGCCCUCCAGCGAGAUAUAGCUCCUCCUCGUACUUUCACCUGCUCAUUCAUACGCGUAUCAAGCUCUUCACUAUUCGCAUGUAGAGAAACCAAUUCCUAAACGAGGAAAAACCUAGUAUUAUUAGUAUUAUAGCGUCAAGCUAUCUUCACGUUUUCUUGAGUAUCACAGGUAAAUUCGAGAGGAAGAAAUAUUUCGAAGGAUGGAUUCGACUGCCUGGUUCUUGCUUUCCCUCGCCACUGCUGCUACGUUUCUACAAGUUCAUAGCACAGUAACUGUGAUAGGCUUGUACGGAGAGACGAUCGAAGUGCCGUGCAAUAAUGGAGCUGCCAAGCCAGAGGAGCUUAUCUUCACUAAAUGGAAAUAUAAGAUGGAUGACGGCAACUCCGGAGACCUCCUGGUCAAGCAGGCGCACAAGGAGGAGGCCCAGAUCCAGGCCAUGGACGGCUACAAGGACCGAGUGAGCAUCGCGGCCAACUCCAGCCUCAUGAUCCAGGGGGGUUCCCUGGUGGACCAGAGGACCUUCACCUGCAUGGUUGUGUACGGCUCCAACCUGGAUGAGCACCCUGUCGACGUCUUGGUCCACAAGAAGCCGUUGCCACCACAGAUAAAAGACAAAGCCAAAGAGCUGGAGAACGGCAAACUGACGUCGCUAGGCGUGUGUAUGGCCGCAGAUGCAAACCCCGCCGCCGUGAUCAUGUGGUCCAAAAACGGCAAGCUGCUGGCGGCUGAUGGAAAGACCAUCAUCAUCACGCCCAGUGUGAAGAUGGAUCCGUCGACGGGCCUGUCCACUACCACGUCCGGUCUGCAGUACACAGCAGUGAAAAGCGACGUGGGAGCCAAUUUCACUUGCACCGCCAAACACAGCCUGGAAACACAGGUGUCCGCUCCAGAGACCUUCAUCAUUCACUAUCCAACAGAGAAGAUGAGCCUCCAGGUGCUGGCGAAGGCUCCCAUCAGAGAGGGCGACAACGUGACGUUGAAGUGCAAGGCGGACGGCAACCCUCCUCCAACCAGCUUCUACUUCAGCAUCAAGGGCCAGAAAGUGACGGUGAAAGAUUCCGACAACUUCACUCUGACUGCCGUUACGCGCAACAGCACCGGAGACUACAAGUGCUCGCUGGUCGACGAUGACAAAAUGGAGGCCUCGGAAAAGGUUGUCGUGAGCUACUUGGAUCUCAGUCUCAGCCCAACAGGAAAGGUCCUUAAGAUGGUCAGGGACACCUUGCUGGUGAAAAUGGAGCAGGACGCCUCCGGCGAUGCUAAAGUGUCAUGGACCAAGGACGACAGAAAGCUGGACGAAGCGCCUAGGCUUGAAAAUGUGACGUACGCUGAUGCAGGGUUCUACGUUUGUGAGGUGUCCGUUGCAGGCAUCAUGCGCAGCCAGUCCUUCCAACUGGUAGUAGAAGGCACACCAGUCAUCAAGAAGAUGACUGAGCACCGUAGCGAGGAUGGCAGACACAAAGUUCUGACCUGCGAGGCCGAGGGCGUGCCCCGGCCCAGUGUCCAGUGGAGCGUCAACGGCACAAAUGAGGAGAAUUCCUAUAUCAAUGGCAAGGCAACUCACAAGAUCACGGUGGUACCCACAGGAAACCUGACCGUCACCUGCAUUGCGACCAACAAGCUGGGAAAUCACUUCAUGGCCCUCCACGUCUCCUCCUUAAUUAUGGACGAAAAAAUGCCAGGAAAAGGGGCACAGGAAGACAGUUCGGACCAGGCUAUAUGGAUUGUGAUCUUUGUUGUUGUGCUCAUCAUAGCUGCUGCUGUUUUGGGGCUGGCCUAUUGGCUUUACAUGAAAUCAAGACAAGGGAGCUGGAAAACAGGAGAGAAGGAAGCCGGAACAUCCGAAGAGAGCAAGAAACUGGAGGAGUGCACAGCUAAGGUGUAGAGACAGCCGGGCUGUACUCGAGAGACGAAGAAGGAAAUAAGUAGAAGAAGCCUUGACCUUUGGAACGACACCGAAACGAAGGCAUUUGAUUGGCUUCCAAAUGAGCAGCAUGUAUUGCAGAAUGCUUCCUAAUCCAGAUGAACAGUCCCACCCACCGACCCACAGUCUCAGAGGAAGAAAAGAUAAACAUUUUGUGUUGUUAAUUGAUUUUCAGUCAGCACUGAAGACUGCUUCUCAUUUUCUUUUUGUGUUCCUGGUGAAUGCUCAAUUGUCUAGCGUGUCGUGAUGGUGUGGUGGGUUUGUCUUCUUUUUUUUUUUUCUGUUUUAAUUUAGUAAAAAUAAUGUCAAAUUCACUGUACACUUUUUAGGUGACCUAGCUGCUCUACACUGCUGUUACCCCUCUGUUCCUCGAGGUUACAUUUCAAAUCUUUACACUCGAGUUUUUUUGAAGCUGCACCUUUUUUUGUUACUCCCAUAUAAACGUUCUUUGUUAUCCCCCUGGGGACAAGUGGCAAAUGGAAAUAUCUGGACAUUUUUCUUUUAGUGUCGCUGCCAAUUGCAAGUCUCACCAAUUCAAUUAUUGGGGCUACACUUUUUGUUGUGCUGGACAAUCAGAAAUUGGCUGAAUCACAAAUACGAGUUUUAUUUUAGUGCAACUUGUCUUCAUGUAAGCCAUUGGGUCUCACUUACAAGCUACAAACUAAAUAAGGUGAGGCAAAUGCCUCAUCCCAAUUUCUAAGAUAGAGAAUAAUAUAUAUAUAUAUUAUGACUCAGUUGGUUGUCGGUGUAAGUUUGGAACCAACAAACUGAAUGCCGCUAGCCUCAAACAUCUCCACAAAAUGCAAAUCAGCUCACUUUUAUCUAAUUGGUUGAUGGUGUAACSAUGCAAGACAUUUGCAGGUCAGAUUUGCCAGCCGUUCUGCACAAAAAUGUAGCUACCCUUUUUGUUUUUCUGAAAUGUUUCGCCRGACUUGAGUUACACAUGUUGUUGUGAACUGUUGUUUUACAUGGAGCAUUCUGACGAAUCUGCGGACAUUGCUCCCUCUUACCUGUUAAAUCAGAUAUAGUCAUAACACUAAUAUAUUUUUUAUUGUGCAUCUCUCUCAGUUUUCAGUUAAAACGGUGUUGUUGUCAUCUCUGUUAUUGUUUCCCUCUCCGGUGUCAUACUGUAGUGAAAGGCCKUUUACUAGUGUAGUUAUUCAUGGUUCUGUUUUGCCGUUUAAGCGGGUUCACUGUAAAUACGUCGGGUGUGAAUGUCCAGCGUGUGUUUUGCUCUAUUUAUACUGUGUGAGACKUGUCAGGUUAGCUGCACUUCGGCAUGCCUACUAGUACCACCCAUAAUACAUUCUGAUUUCAACCUCGAACGUUCAUUAUUUAAACUGUUGAAAAUGUACUUUAUGGUGGAAUGAGAGUUACAUAAAACAGCAGAGAUUUUUUGUGUGUUUUGGUUUUCUUUUUAGGGUCUGAAGGACUGUAAUUGAAACGGUGAGGAUGAUGGUAAAAGUAUGAUAGGAAAGUUGUGUUUCCAUGCAUUUAGUUAAUUUAGUAUAAUCAGGUCAACAGUGAAACCAAAGAGGGUAAGAUGAGAAGGCCAAAAAGGUAUUGUGAAUACUGAAUUUUGUACUUUUGUUGAGAAUAAAGUGUACAUUUUUAA